UUGAUCAUGUUGAUGUCACGUUCAACUUAACCUCCAAACAACUCAAAGCUAUUAUAAUUUUAACAGCAAUUAACAAAACUUUAUAUUGAAGUAUAAAAAUUAUGAAAUUGUGACUAUUUAAAUAAUAUUGUCAUAAUUAAUGCAAAAUGGACAAGAACUUAGAACUCUUCGAAUGUGUAUCUUAAUUAUACCAAUUAUACUUCAAGUAUUUAAGCGUUUUUAUUCCAAGGCUUCAUUUACUCAUGCUCCAAGGUAUUUAUGGUUAGGAGUGAGUAAAAACAAUCAUAGAUCUUUGCCACUAAGUCAGACGUAAACAUGAUCGUAAUUCAGGUGGAUGGAUAGUGGACUAGUGAUUGUUAAGUUUAUCACGUAGCCUCUGGCUACAGAAAUCUUUGUACUUUAGCUUACAUGGAAUUGUAUGACAUUCUAUAAUCUAAUUCUAAGAAAGAAAAAAUAGUUUUCUAUAUUUUUUUACCACCGUUAGUAAAUUAUUUAAUGUAAAUAAAGCCCUGGAGUUCUUAUCCAACGAGUCUCCCAUGACAUGACUUCUGUCUAUUGUAAUUGGCUGGACUGACAAGACUGAAGGAAAUGUUUUGUUACUUCGAAAAUAAGAGAUAAGUCGCCCCCAAGGAAGUAUC